UAGGGUUUCUCAUUCUCAGAGCAUUUUAUCCGCCCCAUCGAGCUGCAAGAUCUGGCGAUUCAAAAAGAGAUCUAGGGUUUCUCUUGGUGAUGCAAGAUCUGGCUUUCUCAAUGACACCAGAUCAGCGAAUCUCUCUCUAUACGACACCCAAUCGACUGAGUUUGAAGGUGGUGAAGGGUUUGGAUCUGCCAAUCAGUGACGUAUGAGCAAGGGGGUGUUUGGUCUGCCAAUCGGUGAUGUAUGAGCAAGAUUUCACAAGAUCUAAAGACGGUGUGGUGUGUAGUGUUAAAUCCGACGACUACGGUUACGGUGGUAUAAUUCUCAAGCCGAUCGGUGGCAAUAGAGACGAGUUCCGGUUUUAGAUGGUGGUUGAGGUAGGUUCCGACAAACUGAGUUGCAGAUCUAGGUUUCACCAGUUGGCGUAGGCGAUACUGCAUCAUCAAAAUGGAUGGUUUCUGAAUGGAGAUCCCUAAAGUUUUUAUGUGGAGGCACUGACUUUUUGGUAAUUUUAUUCCUGCAGUUAGAAGAACAUCACAUGUAUGUUUUGUAUCAAUCAAACAUAUAGAAUCAAUAAAUGAGAACUGGGGUGUAAAUGUAAAUAAGUUUUCUGGUUUGUAUUCUC